UCCAUGGAUAUCACUGGAAAACAAAUCCAAUUACCAGGACUCACAACAGCUAAAAACUUUUUUAUUUUCAGGGUUACCCUGAAUUGGUAAAGAAUGCUGUGCCCCAAACCUUCCACACAUCAUGUGGUUUACGCUCACAACAAUCUUGCAUGACGUCAUCUUCAGUUUUUCCAAAGGACUUCUGCCUCAGAGAGACUUCCUUCUUUCAGCCCCAUGCUUUUCACUGGAGAGCUUUAUCCUUGAUGCAUCUUUCCUACUAAAACCAGCAUGACUAUCUCUGGUAAAAUAUCAUCACCGAAACAUGGCAUUGGAAACUGCUGAUCUAUUAAAAUAUUUAUAGGAAUCUGCCAUAUACUUGUGUGAAAAAAAAGACCAGAAGGCAAAAUAUUUGUAUUCUUAAAAACCACAGAAACUACACUAGUAAAAUUUUGAAAAGGUUACUAAAUUCAUUUUAUAAUAACAGUUUUAAAAGAUUUUCCAGUGGACUUCAAACUGUGUGUUGCAUUGCAUUCGUGGAAAUCCAUUUUAAUGAGUCACUAUAAGCUAUAAAAAAAUGAAAUAGAACAGCUGGGAAUAGACUAGAAGGUAUCAGUGUCAUCAUACACUGUGAAGUUUUGUGUUAUGAAAAUCAUUAAACUAUUGUUGCAGUUAAAUAAACACAUGCAGAGGUAAUAAUGAAUGCAUUUUCGAUGGUGGAUCUCAGUGGCAAAAAGUCUGUGAUCCACUAAUGUAGACCUUGUUCUUGCUUCUCAUCAAAUACUAGGCCAUUUCCAAAAGAUCUCCCUUCAUUGCUUGCUUAGACAGAGAGAAUAAAGCCUUCCUUGGGAUGAUGUUCCAUAAUGAAUGACUAAAAUGUAGUGGAACUUGGCUAGAUGCUUUAUAUCAACCGUUUUUAUGGAGUUGAUUGGAAGGUAAAACAGUAAACAUUUCAUAUAGCCUCAACAAAAAAGACAGUUUGAAAGAGAUCAGACAGAGAGGAUGAAAGGCAUGAAAAAUAUUCAAUCUUACCUGAGCCCUGUGCUUCCGGAAAAGAGUAAUGAUUAAGAAACCUCUCUACCCUUUAGUGUCUGGCAAACAACUAAUGCAAAGGCCCAAACUGCCUUCCCAUAUUCUGAGAUAAGACCCAUCUCCACCCUUCUUCAUGACUUUUAUAAGACUUCUGGAUGACUCCCGUUUUUUCUUGCCCCUAUAGAACCCCAGACCCCCUUCCUUUUCUUCAAGAUAUUCACCAUAAAUCAAUGUUCUCCAUUUUGCAAUGCUUUGAAUAAAAUCUUCUCUUUAAUGACCUAGUGCAUCCUGUAUUUGAUAGUUUGGUGCCAUGAUAUGGAUCUCCUGCACUGGGAUCUUUGUUUACUCAACACAGGUAAUAAGGCUUAUUUGGGCCCUUUGUGCUCCAUUCCUGGUCCAAGGAACUAUGAAUAAGUCUAACUCCUGGUCCUGUGAUAUGGACCCUUGUCUAUUGGUAGCAAGGCAAGGUUUUAGUACUCACUUGAUUUCUGGCACUGGCUUUGGUUUUGUGGUCUGACCACUUGGUGAUCUCUGAGAGGGGAUUAAUGACUUUUAGAGAUCUUGUAUCUUAUGGGUGAAAGACAACAGAGAAUUUGGUUUGCUACGCUUUUCUGUUUGUCUGUUUUGAGCUCAAAUCACUUAAGAAUCAUGAGAACAGAACAGCUCUUUGAUAUGAAACAGUAAGUUUUGUGAUUCUGUGUCCACUCUUGACCCAUGGCUUAAAUGUUAGAAUGGAAACUAAAUUCUUGCUAUCUCUGCUUUAAUGUCUACAUGUCUGUAAUUCAGAAAGGAAGUCACCACUCAUUGUUAGAGUAUGUAAUAUUUCCCUGUUGGCCAGAUACGGUGGCAUGCACCUACAAUUUCAGCUACUAUGGAAGUUGCAACCUUAGCUACUCAGGAGGCUGAAGGCAGGAGUUCUAAUCUAGCCCAUCUCUGAAAAAAAUAAAAAUAAAAUAUUUCCCU
rnacentral:lncRNA from 10 species